UACAGAGGUCUCGAGCGUUAGGCGGAAUCACUGGGCUUAAAGCGUGUGUAGGUGGAUGCCUAAGUACCUUGUGAAAUCCCACAGCUUAACUGUGGAACUGCUUGGUAUACUGGGUGUCUUGAGUCACUCAGGGGCGAGCGGAACAAAUGGUGGAGCGGUGAAGUGCGUAGAUAUCAUUUGGAACGCCAAUGGUGAAAACAGGUAACUGGGGCUGUGCUGACGCUGAGACACGAAAGCCAGGGGAGCGAACGGG
rnacentral:rRNA from 1 species